rnacentral:rRNA from 1 species
AACUGACGCUGAGGCACGAAAGCGUGGGUAGCAAACAGGAUUAGAUACCCUGGUAGUCCACGCCGUAAACGAUGAGUACUAGGUGUAGGAGGUAUCGACCCCUUCUGUGCCGCGGUAAACACAUUCCGUACUCCGCCUGGGAAGUACGAUCGCAAGAUUAAAACUCAAAGGAAUUGACGGGGGCCCGCACAAGCAACGGAGCAUAUGGUUUAAUUAUAACNAACGCGAAGAACCUUACCUGGACUUGACAUCCCCUGAAU